AUUGAACGCUGGCGGCAGGCCUAACACAUGCAAGUCGAGCGGAUGAGUGGAGCUUGCUCCAUGAUUCAGCGGCGGACGGGUGAGUAAUGCCUAGGAAUCUGCCUGGUAGUGGGGGACAACGUUUCGAAAGGAACGCUAAUACCGCAUACGUCCUACGGGAGAAAGUGGGGGAUCUUCGGACCUCACGCUAUCAGAUGAGCCUAGGUCGGAUUAGCUAGUUGGUGAGGUAAAGGCUCACCAAGGCGACGAUCCGUAAAUGGUGUGAUAGGAUGAUCAGUCACACUAGAACGGAGACACGGUCCAGGCUCCUACGUGAGGCAGCAGUGGGGAAUAUUGGACAAUGGGCGAAAGCCUGAUCCAGCCAUGCCGCGUGUGUGAAGAAGGUCUUCGGAUUGUAAAGCACUUUAAGUUGGGAGGAAGGGCAGUAAGUUAAUACCUUGCUGUUUUGACGUUACCAACAGAAUAAGCACCGGCUAACUUCGUGCCAGCCGCCGCGGUAAAAC
rnacentral:rRNA from 1 species